CAUAACUAAGCAUUUGAAAUCUGGUGUGUAUUUUAUACUUAUAGCAUAUCUCAGUACUUGAUUUCGUAAAAUUUCCAGCUGAAAAAAUAGAUUCACAUACCCAAGUCGUUCCAAGCAUACUUACAAGUUUUACGGUAAUCGAAUCGUGUAUAUUUUUAAAUUUUAUUUUAAAUUAAAGUUAGGAUUAUGAAUUCGGUUCCUAAAUUAACCUCAUUUCACUUCCUGCAUUUCAAGUGGGACAAGUUGUUACCAUAUUGGACAAUGCAGUCUAGUGAAAUAGAGGAUAGUGGAAAGUCAGACUUAAAAAGUUGUUUAGAACCAGCUCUGGAAGGUCUUGGAUGUCAGAUUAAAGGACUGAGAUUUUACCCUUGAGUCAGGCAGAAUAAUGGAUGGUUUUUGAACUAAGGAGUGACACAAUGUUGUGCUUAUGACUAGAAAGAGACCACUAGGUGGCCAGCUGGUGAGUCAGGACACCCUUCAGUUGCUUUGACUUCAGCCCUGUGGAUUCAAAGUCUGAUUUUUGUCAGCGCUCUAAAGCAGUCUCACCAAAAGUGUUCACAAGGCAGUGCCAGUCUGUAAGCCCUUUGUUACACAUCCAUGACAAGGCAUUUACAGAAAGUAAGAAUUUAAAAACUUACAGCAAUUUAACAGACUAAUUUUAUUUCUGUGGGUCUAAUAAAAAUUUGAGGGAUUGUACUUUGCAUAUAUCUUUAUUUCCCUUUUUUUGUUUGUUUUUUGUGUUUGAGAUGGGAGUCUUGUUUUGUCGCCAGGCUGGAGUGCAGUGGUGCAGUCUCGGCUCACUGCAACCUCUGCCUCCUGGGUUCAAGCGAUUCUCCUGCCUCAGCCUCCCGAAUAGCUGGGAUUACAGGUGUGCGCCACCACAUCCAGCUAAUUUUUGUAUUUUCAGUAGAGACAGAGCUUCACCAUGUUGGCCAGGAUGGUCUUGAUCGCCUGACCUUGUGAUCCGCCUGCCUCGGCCUCCCAAAGUGCUGGGAUUACAGACGUAAGCCACCGUGCCCAGCCUUUUUUUCCUUUUUAGUUUUUUUUUUUUCUUUUUUGAGACAGAAUUUCACUCUUAUUGCCCAGGCUGGAGUGCAAUGGUGUGAUCUUGGCUCACCGCAACCUCUGCCUCCCGAGUUGAAGCGAUACUCCUACCUCAGCCUCCCAAGUAGCUGGGAUUACAAGCAUGCACCACCAUACCCUGCUAAUUUUGUAUUUUUAGUAGAGACGGGGGUUUCUCCGUGUUGGUCAGGCUGGUCUCCAACUCCCAACCUCAGGUGAUCUGCCUGCCUUGGCCUCCCAAAGUGCUGGGAUUACAGGUGUGAGCCACUACACCCAGCCGUUUUUUUCUUUUUCUAAUAAUUUUUAUCAUAUUACAUGAAAGUACCUAUGGUCUCACAGAUGAAGGGAGUCAGAAAAACCAAACUCCCAGAAGACAUGUAAAUCUAAAUGCCUUUUUUACUUUAGAGUGAAAACUGUAAUAGCUAAAUUGUAAUGGACAUCUGCUCAUUUUCUCCCUCCAUGUAGACAUGGAAAGCUACAUGGAAAUAACCGAGUUUAUAGUAGCUAUCAUAUAUUAAACGUUUCCUGUAUGCCAGCCACUGUGCAAAGCCUAUUAUAUAUAUUGUCUCAUUUAAUCCUCACAACUCUGUAAAAUAAGUAUUGUUUGCCCCAUUUUUCCAGUGAAGAAACUGAGGCUAAAAUAGGUUGAAUAACUUACCUAAAUUCACCAUCCUCAAAGGUGUUAAAGGCAGGAUUCCAGUAUAGGUCUCUCAUUUCCUUCAUGAUUAGGAAUACUACUUUGAAAUGAGAGACCUGUACUGUAUCUGUUAAUUCCAAAUUCCCUGGCAUAAAGACUCAGUACAUUGUUUAAAGAGAACGCAUGAAGUUAACUGCAUUACCUUUUGGAGGGUUCAUUUGUGAAUUUGGGGCCAAAAUAAGGGGAGUUACUGGUAUUCUAAUAGCAUCAAACAAAUGAAUUCAUUUCUUCUUUUGGGGAGGUGGAGGGAAUAAGGUCUCACCUUGUUGCCCAUGCAGGCUGGAAGGCCGUGAUGUGAUCUCAGCUCACUGCAGCCUCAAUCUGGGCUCAAGCGAUCCUCCCACCUCAGCCUCCUGAGUAGCUGGGACUACAGGUGCACACCACCGUGCCCAGCUCAUUUUUGUAUGUUUUGUAGAGACUGUUUUGCCACGUUGCCCAGGCUGUUCUCAAACUCCUGAGCUCAAGUGAUCCUCCCACCUCAGCCUCCCAAAGUGCUGGGAUUAGAGGUGUAAUCCACCACACCCAGCCAAAUGCAUUCAUGUCUACAAUAGAAAUACAUCUCUUUGCUCCUAUCUUGAAUUUGUAGACUCCCACAAAUCAAUAAAAAAGAAGACAUCCAAUAAAAAAAUGGGUAGAGGCCCAGGCAGGCAGAUCACCUGAGGUCAGAAGUUUGAGACCAGCCUGGCCAACAUGACAAAACCCUGUCUCUACUAAAAAUAUAAAAAUUAGCUGGACGUAGUGGCACGUACCUGUAAUCCCAACUACUCGGGUGGCUGAGACAGGAGAAUUGCUUGAACCCAGGAGGCAGAAGUUGCAGUGAGCCAAGAUCGUGCCACUGCACUCCAGCCUGGGCGACAGAGCAAGACUCCAUCUUAAAAAAAAAAAAAAAAAAGGGCAGAAACUUAAACAGUCACCUCACAAAAAAGUGUAUCUAAAUAUUAGUUUCUUAAAAAAUAAAAAAGGGGCAUGUAGAUGGCCGAGAAACAUGUAAAAGAUACUCAACUAAUUUAAUCACUAGAGAAAUGCAAAUUAAAACCUAAAUGAGAUUUUAAUCUCACAUCCAACAGAAUGGCUAAAAUGGAAAACCCAGAAAAUGCCAAAUGUUGGUCAAGAGUUGGAGUAACUGAAACUACACGGCUGCUGGAAAUGUAUAUUGGUAUAACCACUUUGGAAAAUGGGAAGUUCAACAAACAAGCAAUUUAGGGAUAUAUGUUUAGGUAGUAAAAGUAUAAAGAAAAGAAAUAGUUUUGCAGGGAGUAGUGCUUGGGAGGUAAUAGGUGCUUCUGGAGUGCUGUUGAUGUUCUGUUCCUAAGUAGGGUGCUGUGGCUUGAGUUUGGUUUGCCUGACCCUACCAAGUCUCAUGUUAAAAUUUGAUCCCCAGUGUUGGAGGUGAGGCCUGGUGGGAAGGGUUGUGGGAGUGGAUUUCUCAUGAGUGGCUUUGUAUUCUGUAAGGAGUGAGUUCAUUAAGAGACUGGCACCUCCUCUCUCCUUUCUCUCGCUAUGUGAUCUCUGCAUAUGUCAUCUCCUGUCUGCCUUCCACCAUGAGCAGCCUGAAGCCUUCACUGGAAGCAGAUACUGCUACCAUGCUUCUUGUACAGCCUGCAAAACCGUGAGCCAAAUAAGCCUAACAUUCUAAGACACUGGGAUUACAUGAGUGUUUACUCUAUGAUUUAUUGAGAAGUAGGUGUUUUGGAGAAAAAUGUACUUUCAGUAUGUAUAUUAUAUAUUUCAUGGUUAUUUUUAAAACUCGUGAGCAAUGCUGGAUACACACUACCAACUAUUACUUCCCUGACUGAGCCAAUUUUUCUGUAAAUGCAUCACAAAUGUGAAAGAUAAGAUAGGCCUGAAUUCUGGGGAAUGACAAUGGUGAAGGAAAGGCGAGACAGAUGCAAAAGACACUGCAGAACUCAGGCUUAAAAUCUCAUCCUUAACUCCUUCCCUCAUCCCACCAUGUUGAAUCAGAUGUCAAUAGCAAUUUUAUAUGGCAUUUUUUAAGCUUGCAAAAAGUUAUAAACACAGAAAAUGUUCAUUUUAUCACCCUAUCACAGACGAAAAACAUGAAAUUAAGCUAGGAAACAUGUUCAGGUGAUUAGAGUAGGUAGAACAUAGACUAAAAACCAGUGAACUUAUUUAAAAAAAUGCCAUGAUGUGGACACAAAAAAAGAACUUGUGGCUCCUCACUCCAACUCCUGUGACUCUCUCACCUUACCCCCACUGCCUUCAAGUUUUUUGUAGAAAGAGAAAUUUUAUAUGGAUUGAGUUGAAGAUGAUGCCAGAAUAUCAAGGUAGAAUUAUUAAACAGACACAAAAGCUAAGGUUUGGUACUCUGAAAAAAGGUCAGAAUUAGUGAUAGAAAAUUAGAAGUUACCCAUCCAUAGAAGGGUAAUAAAGCCAUGAGAGUGAAGGAAACCAGUGAGAGACAAUGUUGAGAAAAGUACUGAAGGACAGAGAAGGAGAAGUGAAGGAGGAAAGCAAAUCAGCAUUUAUUGAGCAUCUGUUAAACUGUAUGCCAGCUGUUCUACAUUUACUAUCUGAUUUAUUCCUUUCCAUUUCCAAGGUAGCCAAUUUUAGCCUCAUUUGAUAGACUGACUUUGUAGACUCAAAAAGCAGUAAAAAGAACCAGCAUUCAAAACCAGCUUGACUCCAGUUUAUUCGGUGUACUACACCAUUCCUGGAGAUGCCAGGCGUGGUGGCACACACCUGUAGUCCCAGCUACUCAGGAGACUUGCAUGAGCCCAGAAGUUUGAGACUGCAAUGAGCCAUGAUUAUGCCAGCUUGGGUGACAGACCAAGACCUUGUCUCAAGAAAAAAAAAAAAUUGCCAAUUGCGGUGGCUCAUGCCUGUAAUCCCAGCACUAGGAGGCCGAGGUGGGUGAAUCACCUGAGGUCAGGAGUUUUGAGACCAGCCUGGCCAACGUGGCAAAACCUCGUCUCUACUAAAAAUGCAAAAAUUACUAGGACAUGUUGGUGAGCAGCUGUAAUCCCUGCUACUCAGGAGGCUGAGGCAAGAGAAUCUCUUGAACCCAGGGGGUGGAGGUUGCACUGAGCCGAGAUCAUGCCAUUGUACUUCACCUCUGGACAGAGGGAAACUCUGUCUCCAAAAAAAAAAUAUGGAGGGCUGGGCACGGUGGCUAACACCUGUAAUCCCAGCACUUUGGGAGGCCAAGGCGGGUGGAUCACAAAGUCAGGAGUUCAAGACCAGCCUGGCCAACAUAGUGAAACCCUGUCUCUACUGAAAAUACAAAAAUUAGCCAGGCAUGGUGGCACACGCCUGUAGUCCCAGCUACUGGGGAGGCUGAGGCAGGAGAAUCGCUUUGAACCUAGGAGGCGGAGGUUAUGGUGAGCUGAGAUCGCAUCAGUACACUCCAGCCUGGGCAACAAUGCGAGAUUCCAUCUCAAAAAAAUAAAUAUUUGGAGUCCCAUAAUAAAUAAAUAAAUAAAUAUUUGGAGUCCAAUGUGAUAGUAUCUGGAGAUGGGGCCUUUGGAGGUAAUAUGGGUUAGAUAGGUCAUGACGGUAGGGCCCUCAUUAUGGGAUUAGUGGCGUUAGAAGAAGAAGAGAGAAAUCUUCCUCCUCAAGAGCAGAGGAAAAGCCAUAUAAGAAUACAGUGAGACGGCCACUUGCAAACCAGAAAGGGAGCCCCCACCAGGAACCAAAUUGGCUGGCACCUUGAUCUUGGACUUCCCAUGCUCCAGAACUAUGAGAAAUAAAUUCCUAUUAUUUAAGCCCAUGGUAGUUUUAUGGCAUCCUGAGCUAAGACAACGUGUCUCUAGUUUCCCACAGAUUCAUAAAGGUCCAUACAAAAAAUGUUAUAACUGUUAAUAGUGUCCUGUCCUUGAAUUUAACAGCAACCAACAUAUUGUUUGUGUAGUUCUUGCGCCAUUUGGAAACAGUGACCUUUAGGUGUUGCAGGUAACUAUUGGGAAAUCCUUCAAUUUGUUUAACGUUUCCAUAUUUUGAUUUGCAUCUUGGGAGUUGCUUGGAAUUUGGGAUCCUCUUCUGUCUCUUGAAUUGAAAUCAGAGGCUGCUUGCCGGGCAAGGUGGCUCACGCCUGUAAUCCCAGCACUUUGGGAGGCCCAGGCAGACAGAUCACCAGAUGUCGGGAGUUAGAAACCAGCCUGGGCAACAUAGUGAAACCCCGUCUCUACUAAAAAUACAAAAAUUAGCCGGGCGUGCUGGUGCACGCCUGUAAUCCUAGCUACUUGGGUGCUGAGUCAGGAGAAUUGCUUGAACCUGGGAGGUGGAGGUUGCAGUGAGCCAAGAUCGUGUCACUGCACUCCAGCCGGGGCAACAGAGCAAGACUCUGCCUCAAAAAAAGAAAUCAGAGGCUGGGCAUAGUGGCUCAUGCCUAUAAUCCCAGCACUUUGGGAGGCCAAGGCAGGUGGAUCCCUUGAGGCCAGGAGUUCAAGACCAGCCUGGGCAACAUGGCGAAAGCCUAUCUCUACUAAAGAUACAAAAGAUUAGCUGGACGUGAUGGUGUGUGCCUGUAAUCCCAGCUACUCAAGAGGCUGAGGCACAAGAGAAUUGCUUGAACACAGGAGGUGGAGGUUGCAGUGAGCCAAGAUCACACCACUGCAUUCCAACCUGGGGCAACAGAGUGAGACUCUGUCUCAAAAAAAAAAAAAAAAAAAAAAAAUCAGAGAUAAUAUAAAUGCAGGUGUAAACUCAUACACUUAAUGGGCUAUAAAUUUUGGAACUGGCUGUGAUAAUAUAACAAAAGUCAUAAUGGGCUGUGAGUGGUAUUAAAUGUGGGAUUAACUGGAUAUUUAAUGAUACCAAAGAAUCAUUAAUUUUGUUUGGCUAUGAUGUUUUAUUAUUAGAAUGAUGUUAUGAUUAAAUUUUAUUUUUGUCUGGAUACAGUCGCUCACACCUGUAAUCCCAGCACUUUGGGAGGCCGAGGCAGAUGGAUCACUUGAGGCCAGGAGUUCCAGACCAGCCUGGCCAACACAGCGAAACCCCAUCUCUACUAAAAAUACAAAAAAUUAGCCAGGCCUGGUGGUGCACGCUUGUAAUCCCAGGUACUUGGGAGGCUAAGGCAGGAGGAUCACUUGAACCCAGGGGAGGCUGCAGUGAGCUGAGAUCGCACCACUGCACUCCAGCUUGGGCAACAGAGCAAGACUCCGUCUUAAAAAGAAGAAAGAAAUUCUAUUUUUUAAAUGUUUUUUCCUUUUAUUGAACUCCAUUUAUAGCCUUUCCAUUCAGAGCAUAAAGAUUAAAUUUUAAAACAACGCUUGGCACCCUGGCUUCUGCCUGUAAUCCCAGCACUUUGUGAGGCCAAGGUGGGCGGAUCACCCGAGCUCAGAAGUUUGAGUCCAGCCUGGCUAACAUGGUGAAACCCCGUCUCUAAAAGAGUACACAAGCCUGGAGCAGUGGUGUGCGCCUGUAGUCCAAGCUACUUGGGAGGCUGAACCAGGAGAACUGCUUGAGCCUGGGAGGCAGAGGUUGCAGUGAGCCAAGAUCGCAUCAUUACACUCCAGCCUGGGUGACAGAGAGAGACCCUGUGCCCCUCAAAAAAAGUGUUUUUUUAAACAAGAAUCUCUUAGGCACACUGAAAUAUUGAAGAGGAAAUUAUAUUAAUAUCUGGGACUUGUUUCCAAAUAAUCUGGAAUUGGGGCAGGGUGUAAAUUGUUGACAAUAUCAAAGAAACGAGGAGUUGGAAUGAUAAUUGUAGAAGCUGCAUGAUAGAUACAUGUUCUUUAUACUUCUGUAUAUGUUGACAUUUUUUAUUAAAUUAUAAUUGUAUAAUGACUAUAAUUAUGCUUUCAUUGUCUAUUCUGUGUGGUUAUGUUACUUGCUGAAAUUAAUACAUAAAGAGUCUUCAACUUAAAUGACUUAUCAAGCAUAAAUAUUAAAAUACUGGAUGUUACUACA